rnacentral:rRNA from 1 species
UACAGAGGUCUCAAGCGUUGUUCGGAUUCAUUGGGCGUAAAGGGUGUGUAGGCGUUUUGUCGCGUCUGCUGUGAAAUUUCGGGGCUCAACCCCGAACUUGCAGUGGGUACGGGCAGACUAGAGUGUGGUAGGGGAGACUGGAAUUCCUGGUGUAGCGGUGAAAUGCGCAGAUAUCAGGAGGAACACCGAUGGCGAAGGCAGGUCUCUGGGCCACUACUGACGCUGAGAAGCGAAAGCAUGGGGAGCGAACAGG